CUUAUUUAUUCAAUUAUUAUUCCAUUUCCUAAAACAUUUUGAGUUCAUUUAAAAUUGAAAUGUAUCUGAUUCUCUAAAACACUUCAAACACCUGACAUGGCAAAUUUACAAGCCUGACAAGUGAGAUCUUUCUAAGCCUUUAAGCCAUUACUGAAAAUUAAUAAUUCUAGUGAAUGAAGUUUUCUUAAGAUUCAUGGUGGGGAGCCAGGCAUGGUGGCUCAUGCCUGUAAUCCCAGCACUCGGGAGGCUGAGGCAGGAGGAUCGCUGUGAGUUUGAGACCAUCCUGGGCUACAUAGUGAGUUCCAGAUCAGUCUCAACUACAUAGUGAGACCCUGCCUCAAAAAACAAACAAACAAACAAAAAAACAAAAAACAAAGAUUCAUGGUGGGUAACCGCCAACUGUCUAGUGUUAAUUCUUCCUCUUUUUCUUUUAGCUAAACCCCCUUAGUUUUAAUUGGACUUAUAGCUAUCCAACUAUGAACUACAUUCCCCAGGCUCCUUUGCAGCUAGCUAUGGUCAAGUGACUAAUUUUGGGUUCAUGGAAUAUAAGUAAACAUGGGCACUACAAGCAGGUUGUGUCUUUUUUUGUUUUGUUUUGUUUUUUUGGGUACCGGGGAUUGAACUCGGGUCCUUGUGCUUGCAAGGCAGGUCACUGAACCGCUGAGCUAAAUCCCCAGCCCUUUAGGUUGUGUCUUAAAGAUACUUGUCAUAGACUCUUGCUUUUCUCUCUUCUAUCCCACUUUUGGAUAUGGUAAUGAGCCAACAUUGACCAUGCUGAUGGAGAUGACACAGGCCAUGAAGAAUCAAAGGAAGUAAGAAACCGAAGACUUCAAAUAGCAAAGCGUCUUGGUGUCCAGCUAUAGAGACCACUCACUACUUGAAUGUUGGUUAAAAGUGAAGGAAACUUCAGGGAUCUUUUAGUCAUAGGGCUGGAAAGUCCAAGAUCAGAGGGCCAACACCCAGUGGGGGUCUUCUUGCUGAGUCAUCAAUGCAAAAGGCAGAAGGACAACAAGGGGACGAAAGGUGGGGAGAAGUAUGGACAGGUGGAGAGAAGUGUGCCGUCACCUACAACUGUUGCAAUUGUACAAGGCAUCCGAUUUCAAAGAUUUAAAAAGCAUGGAAGAGGCCAAUCUGUCCUUUGUGUAUGGGCGUGUGUGUGUGUGUGUGUGUGUGUGUUGCUUGGAACUGAACACAGGGCCUUACAGACACAGAGCCACUGUACCACUGAGCCUGAGCCUGUUCUCUUUGAAAGAAUCCACUCCCUCAGUAACAGCAUUAAUCUACUCAUAAAGGUGGAAUUUACAUGUCUUAAUCUCUUCGCAUUGCCCAACACUAUUGCACCAAGGAUCAAAUUUCCCACACAUGACCCUUUGAGGACACAUUCAAACCAUGUCAGAGUACUCUUUCAAUGCAUCAAAGAUGCAAGAUGCAAAAUUGCUUUAUCAUCACUAAGCUAGAAGAAACACCAUCACCUUCCAUUGUUACAGUUUUACAAUGCAUCCAAUCUCCAAGAUUUAAAGAAUGUAGAGC
rnacentral:lncRNA from 1 species